AAUAAAAUUGUGCAUCACAACUAUGUAUUCACCAUCUCUUCAAACCCUCUCCUCCUUGUUUCUCUAAGAUUUGCAGUACAACACCAUAACACUCAUCUCUCCGUUUGCCUCGUGAUUCCAUGGAUUCUUGAAGGCGAAACGCUGCUCUCGGGUCUUGUAAAGCCUUGAAACUAUCCCUUUCUUCUUCCUUUGUCAUUCUCGGUCCAAUACACAACAACAAAAAAAAAACUUAAUUCCGCCAUUAAUGGACCUCUCUUGUCGUCUGAUAUUGAAGAAUCAAGCCAUAGCCUUCAAUUGAUAUGAUUUUCGAGCAACAUCAAUGGUAGUGGGCCUUCCUUUCCAUUGAAGGAUGAUUCAAGCAAGCAGCAGACGAAAUCCCCUUUUCUUGUGCCUUUGAAUUCUGCCGCAAACCAAGGAAGCCAAUACGAACCUUGUUUCUAUUGAUUUUGCAUCAAAUUCAGAAUAACCUUAUUUCCUGUUCUUGAUUUCUGCCGUAAACAAAUACGAUUACGUCGAUAAGCCCUUCUAGUCAACUGCAGUGAACCAGUCUCAACUUCUUGAAGCAACGUUAUUGAUUGUUUACAGAUCAGUACAGGCUGGAAACGAUGAAAUAGCGGAGGUGAUUAAAGUAUUCUUGGAAGACAUGUUGUAUUUGAGUAUGUAUAGAGGUUGUAGAGUUAGUAUUGAAUUUUAGUAAUUAUGUCAUAGUUGGUUAUGUUGACUAUUUUGGACUUCUAUGGUUAGUUUAUGAUUACUUUGAGACCUUGGUUUAGAUUUUUGGAUUUAAGAUUAAUUAUUACAGUUAUGUUUUAGACCUCGUGACCCUUCCCACAAGUUAUGGUUUAAAAUUUGAGUUCUUUGGGUUAGUAAACCCCGUGAUGACCUGUCUUACUUAGUCAACGGUAAGUCGGGUUGUUAUAGUUAAAGAGUCACUAAUAAUUUUCAAGUGAUCUAUUAAAAAAUAGACUAAAUAUAAGUUCAUCUCAUGGUGAGACGACAUAUAUGGGGUGCAAGUUUUUCAGUUUAACAUUUGUGUAAGCUCAAAUAUACAUAGAUUUACAAAUUAUUAUAUAAGCUGGUUUUACUGUGAGACAUGUUAUGUAAUAAAUAUUUUAAUUAAUACAAAUUAUGAGAA